UUACGGCCACAUCACGUUGAAACAUCGGUUCCCGUAUGAUCAUUGCAGUUAAGCAACGUCGAGCCUGGUCAGUACCUAGAUGGUUGCUCGUUUGGGAAUACCAGGUGCUGUAAU